UACGAAGGGGGCUAGCGUUGCUCGGAAUCACUGGGCGUAAAGCGCACGUAGGCGGAUUGCUAAGUCAGGGGUGAAAUCCUGGAGCUCAACUCCAGAACUGCCUUUGAUACUGGCAACCUUGAGUCCGGGAGAGGUGAGUGGAGCUGCGAGUGUAGAGGUGAAAUUCGUAGAUAUUCGCAAGAACACCAGUGGCGAAGGCGGCUCACUGGCCCGGUACUGACGCUGAGGUGCGAAAGCGUGGGGAGCAAACAGG
rnacentral:rRNA from 1 species